CAGUGCCUUCAAAUAGAUGUUACUGAGCAUGCCUACUUCCCUUAAUGCGCAUGCUCAGAAAGAGCAAACUAUCACACGGGUUUAGACGGGUUGUAACAUUACACCGGGGGCAAACCUGCGCUAGUCCCGCUCUGUGCCAGCACCGGGGGCAGCCCCGGGCUCUGCCGCCACCAGCCCCUGAGCCGGAGCCUGCAGCCUGAUUCUAGAUUGUCCCAUCAUUCUGGGGGAUGGAGAAGGGAAAUGUCUGAAGUGGAGCUGGUGACCUUUGAAGAGGUGGCUGUGUAUUUCACUGAGAGAGUGAGCGAACUUCACCGGACCCCAGCCAGAGAGCCCGCUACAGGAUCAUUAUGCAGGAGAAUUAUGAGGUUUUAACCUCACUGGGUUUCUACAUUAGCCAGAUAUCCAGUUAAUCGUGUCUCUGGACUCACGACCAAGUUCAGCAAACCACGCCUACUCAGCAAAAUGCUGAAACAGAACGGGGGUUAAUUGGCAGUGAUGGAGACUUAGUUGUACCUCAGAUCAUAGGUGCCAACUUUUCCUUGCGCCGCAGGUGAUGGGACAGUGAGUGAGAAAAAGAAGGAAGAUCCUGAGCAGGUGGGACCACAGGUGACAUUAUCAGGUAGAGCCACAGGGAAAGUUUUCCAGAGUACUGAGCAGGGAGAAGCCCGUCAGAAUCAGCGCAGG